AGGACAGCUCACUGUAAGCUGACCCGGCUGCCGCACAGCCUGUGGCCUCCCGCCUGCCCAUCCCAACGCUUCAGGGCUGUCAGCCUCGGAGAUAAUGACCAGACCUGGGAAGUGUGGACAGAGAGAUUCCAGAACGCAUUCUAACCCCGAGGCCUCUUUAUCCAGAGAGAGGCGUGCGUGACUGUGGGACACAUGCUUGUGCCCGAAAGGAUGUUUCGAGACUCUGAGAAGAAGGAAGGACAUCAUCUCAGAAUAAAGCACCUUCUUUCCUAAGAUCAAGCCCUGGAGAUUGUGCACAGACACAUUCCUGAGUCAGGCCUGCCAUCCAGGUGGUGUCUGCUCAGGGUUCUCUUGCAGAUCCACAGGCACACAGACCCAGGGGUUUGUGUGGCCCUGCGGGGACUUACCCUCAGCUCAGUGGUCUCCCUGCUGUCUAUGAUGAGGUCACAGGUCCAAGCUUCAAAAAGGCAAAUCAGUGUGGCUCUACCUGGGGUUCCACCUGUUGCUCUGUGAGUGGCUGGUCACAGGGGAACCAGAGAAGAUGGGACCAGCCGCUGAAACCCGCCAGAAAUUAGCCUUUCAGUACAGCAGUCGUCAGAGGGCUGUCGAAGAUCAUGACCAUCUUCAGAGGCUGUCUACCACUGCAGGUUAUGGAACCCCAGGGGAUUUGCCGGACUGAAGCCAGCUCUUGUCCCAAAUGCCUUGCCCAGCACGCUCUGGCUAGACUUGGCAUUCACUCGUCAUCCUUGUCCUCCAGGAAUACGCAACCACUGGAACUCCACACCAUGUACAACCACAAGAACGGCAAGUUAUGCUCCGUGUAUGUGUGAUAUAUCAAAAU